GAGUUGUCUGAACCUUCGGGGAACGAUAACGGCGUCGAGCGGCGGACGGGUGAGUAAUGCCUGGGAAAUUGCCCUGAUGUGGGGGAUAACCAUUGGAAACGAUGGCUAAUACCGCAUAAUAGCUUCGGCUCAAAGAGGGGGACCUUCGGGCCUCUCGCGUCAGGAUAUGCCCAGGUGGGAUUAGCUAGUUGGUGAGGUAAGGGCUCACCAAGGCGACGAUCCCUAGCUGGUCUGAGAGGAUGAUCAGCCACACUGGAACUGAGACACGGUCCAGACUCCUACGGGAGGCAGCAGUGGGGAAUAUUGCACAAUGGGCGCAAGCCUGAUGCAGCCAUGCCGCGUGUAUGAAGAAGGCCUUCGGGUUGUAAAGUACUUUCAGCAGUGAGGAAGGUGGUGUACUUAAUACGUGCAUCAUUUGACGUUAGCUGCAGAAGAAGCACCGGCUAACUCCGUGCCAGCAGCCGCGGUAAUACGGAGGGUGCGAGCGUUAAUCGGAAUUACUGGGCGUAAAGCGCAUGCAGGUGGUUUGUUAAGUCAGAUGUGAAAGCCCGGGGCUCAACCUCGGAAUUGCAUUUGAAACUGGCAGACUAGAGUACUGUAGAGGGGGGGUAGAAUUUCAGGUGUAGCGGUGAAAUGCGUAGAGAUCUGAAGGAAUACCGGUGGCGAAGGCGGCCCCCUGGACAGAUACUGACACUCAGAUGCGAAAGCGUGGGGAGCAAACAGGAUUAGAUACCCUGGUAGUCCACGCCGUAAACGAUGUCUACUUGGAGGUUGUGGCCUUGAGCCGUGGCUUUCGGAGCUAACGCGUUAAGUAGACCGCCUGGGGAGUACGGUCGCAAGAUUAAAACUCAAAUGAAUUGACGGGGGCCCGCACAAGCGGUGGAGCAUGUGGUUUAAUUCGAUGCAACGCGAAGAACCUUACCUACUCUUGACAUCCAUAGAACUUUCCAGAGAUGGAUUGGUGCCUUCGGGAACUAUGAGACAGGUGCUGCAUGGCUGUCGUCAGCUCGUGUUGUGAAAUGUUGGGUUAAGUCCCGCAACGAGCGCAACCCUUAUCCUUGUUUGCCAGCACUUCGGGUGGGAACUCCAGGGAAAC
rnacentral:rRNA from 1 species